rnacentral:misc_RNA from 1 species
GAUGAAGAACGUAGCGAAAUGCGAUAAGUAAUGUGAAUUGCAGAAUUCAGUGAAUCAUCGAAUUUUUGAACGCAUCUUGCGCUCCUUGGUAUUCCAAGGAGCAUGCCUGUUUGAGUGUCAUGAAGUUCUCAACCACAUAAUAUUUUUUUGUGUGGCUUGGAUUGGUGGGGGGUUAUUGCCGGCUUUCAUUAGUGGGCUCUCCUUAAAUAUAUAAGUGGUAUCUUGAAAAGCUACAAGUUGGGUGUUAUAAGUUAAUAAUACACCGUAUGGCGAUUCUACUAUGCUGCUUCGAACAGAUUUAUUUUAAUGAUUUUGACCUCAAAUCAGGUAGGACUACCCGCUGAACUUAAGCAUAUCAAUAAGCGGAGGA